GUUUAAACUUGUAGAUCCACCUACUACCAAUAACCUUCUGAUGUUGAGGUCUUUUGACCACUGUCCAAGUAUGGUUUUUGAUCUGUGACUCCAUUUCUUCAUUCAUAGCAAGUUUCCACUUAUUCCAAUUCAUGCUUCUUUUAGCUUCACUGUAAUCUGCAGGUUCUAUUUCUCCACUGUCUUCUGUAGUAUAGAGAGCUUCAGCGAGAUAGUCUUCAUCAUCAAACCUCACUGGAGCUCUGAUUGUUCUUCUAUCUCGAUCUCUCACCAGUUGAUAACUCAGUGGUGACUGAAUUAUAUCAGUUUCUGAGUUAACUCCUUCACUGUAGGUUUGAGUGGUUGCCGGACUUGGAUUGAAUGGAGACUGAGCUUCGACAAUCGGAUCAUCUCC
rnacentral:sRNA from 1 species